GAGAAGUGGACUUGUCUGCCAGAAGAGAAGCAUCCCUCCAAACAGGAAGUGUGCUCAGUCUCAGACGGACUAGAGAAAAAUGCAGAGAGGGUGCCUUCCUACUUUUUCCAUCCUGGGGAAAGUUUGAACCACAAAACCACAAAGAAUAAAAUAUUGCUGGUCAAUGGAAACAUUCACUUUUGGAAAUCAGGAAGUCAAUCUGCUGCUCCAGAAGUGUUGUCCGUGAACGCUGCCCCAGCUUUGGAGGUCCUUCAGGAGAGAGUACAGAGCAUUCAACAACUAUUUGUGAAUGGCAAUGCAAUGUGUUGUUGGCAUUCCUGGCCUUCAUUUCAAUGCAAUUGGUGAAGAACUUUUUGAGUCCUCCGUGAGUGGGCUGCAGUCUGACUCUUUGCAGUUGGCCAUCAAACAGUCUGGCUCCAGGUGCCAGAAGUGGAUUUGAACAGAGGCAAGGAAUCUCAAGAGUUCACAAAGGCAGGGGACUCCACCAGUGUGACUGAGUUACAAAGGACAAUAGAAUUAUGACAGGGUAAAUUCUUUCGGAAUCAAGAGCAGAAGAUCAGAAGUGAAUGCCACGUCCAAGAAGUGAACUUAAUUAGACAGAACAAGAUUUGGGGGCAGGAUAAGAACCAGAUCAGAGAGCAAGCAGGCUGGCAAAGGACAAAAAGGUUAUUAUGGUUACCCAUGGCUUCUACUUGUUAGAUCAGGCCAGUCUAAAUAAGGAGUAGGGAAAAGUAUGGGGACAAGCUCAGGGAUGGGAGGGAAAGUUAAGCCAUAUCCCUCAGAAAAACUGCAUAUAAACAAGAGAAGUAUCUUUAUCUUAUUUAUACAUUUCACAAAGGCCAUUAACCAUCUAAAGCCUCAUCUGCUCAUUUUCUGUGAAAUCACUUGAAUUUUGAAUGAUCAGUUUUCUUUCUUAAAGUUACAAUGGCCAUGAUUAGUUAUCUUCAAAUCAAUUUAUUAAUUGUUGAGUCCAUUUUCCACUGGGGAGAUAUAGGAAAUGAACUGCCAUUUUUCACAAAAUUCUUCAUCAUGGUGCCUCAUUUGACUGACUAUAUGUCGCUCCAGACUGCAUAGGGAAUUCUCAGUGACUUUUUUAAAAUUUCACUCACAACUUAGGAAUAUAAAUACCCUGUGUUUAAAAUCAUUAAUGUUCUUACAUUAGGGUUUUUGGGGAAGAAGUAACACGCUAUUAAAGGCAAAAUCACUUCUUAGUACAUUCCAUAGUUUACUUCAAAAGUUAGUAACUUCCUUUUGAAAAACAAAUAAAGGAAAAAGGUAUAAAAAGUAUCAUGAAUUGAAAAUCAAGUGAUGCUUUGGAUGAACAUAUUUGAAACAAGUAUAACAAAGAUAUAAAUUUGUAAUUUGAUUUUUCCCACAAAUAAAUAAGAAAAAGUCAAAGAAUCCUUCAAUUUAGAUAAAAAUCAUGAGGAAAGCUGUCCUGGAGGAGCAAAUGAAAUGGCCUAUAGGUAAAUGAAAAAUGUUCAUUCUAGAAAUUGCAAAUUAAACAAUGAGAGGUCAUGAUUUUUGUUAAUUAUUUUAGGUUGAGUGUUUAUCAAUGUUGGUGAAAGAGUAACUUGUUACAUUUUUUAGGGUAAUUUUUCAGUGCCUAUCAAAAUUAAAAGUAAACAUAUCCUCUAAACCAGAUAUUUCAGGAAGCAGAUUUGGCUCAAUGGAUAGAGCGUCCACCUACCCAUGGAUGUCCAGUGUUCAAACCCAGGGCCUCCUAACCUGUGUAAUGAGCUGGCCCACGCGCAGUGCUGA
ensembl:lincRNA